GACGAACGCUGGCGGCGUGCCUAAUACAUGCAAGUAGAACGCACAGUUUAUACCGUAGCUUGCUACACCAUAGACUGUGAGUUGCGAACGGGUGAGUAACGCGUAGGUAACCUGCCUGGUAGCGGGGGAUAACUAUUGGAAACGAUAGCUAAUACCACAUAAUAUUAAUUAUUGCAUGAUAAUUAAUUGAAAGGUGCAAUUGCACCACUACCAGAUGGACCUGCGUUGUAUUAGCUAGUAGGUGAGGUAACGGCUCACCUAGGCGACGAUACAUAGCCGACCUGAGAGGGUGAUCGGCCACACUGGGACUGGGACACGGCCCAGACUCCUACGGGAGGCAGCAGUAGGGAAUCUUCGGCAAUGGACGAAAGUCUGACCGAGCAACGCCGCGUGAGUGAAGAAGGUUUUCGGAUCGUAAAGCUCUGUUGUAAGAGAAGAACGGGUGUGAGAGUGGAAAGUUCACACUGUGACGGUAUCUUACCAGAAAGGGACGGCUAACUACGUG
rnacentral:rRNA from 1 species